UUUUAAAAUAACCUACAAAAUUUCUGUCACCUUUUGGCAUUUUUGGUAAAUAUUUUGAAAUUUUCAAAAGCUUCAACAGCUUAUUUUGAGUUUCUAGUAAUAUAUGUUCGAUGUAAAAAGCUGAAUAUUAUCUCUCAUCGAUAACAAUGGUUGCGUUUUGUCCAUUUUGUGCAAACAUAUUAUUUGUAGAAGAAAAUGUUUCAGGCACUUUGCAGUUUACCUGCAACGUAUGUCCUGUUUAUUUUCCAGUAAAAAAGAAUAUUUCGUACCGUAGUUAUUAUAAAUUAAAGGAAAUAGAUGAUGUUCUUGGUGGAGACGAUGCAUGGAAAAAUGUUGAUUCAACUGAAGAAAGGUGUCCCAAAUGUGGACAUAACCGAGCCUACUUCUUACAGCUUCAAACAAGAUCCGCAGAUGAACCCAUGACGACUUUUUAUCGAUGCUGUAACAAUGAAUGUAACAAUAACUGGAGAGACUAAAUUUAGCUUUUAUUAGAGUAAUCAAAAAGCAAUAAACUAACUUUAGAUAGAUUUCUUUCUAAAACAUUAGUUUUAUCUGUGAUUAAUAUUGUACCGACAAUGGUUUUAUAUUUGCCAAUAGUAUUUGUAUAAUUGAAGAGUGGAAAUACCAAAGAGGGUAAGUGCCAACAUUAUUUAUUCAAGAUAAAUGAGAAAAACACAGAACUGAAAAUAAAAAACUUAAAAUAUCUUUUAAAAUACAUAUAAUAUACAUAAAGACAGACGCUUUCGCUUGGCACUGAUAACUUUUGUUAGGACAGCAUGGUAUUUAUUACGUUUUUAAUGCAAUAAAUUAAUAUUGAAAAAUUUGGCACUUAUCCCCUUGGUAUUUCCACUUUUCAAUAAUUAUAUCAUAAAAUAACCAAAAGUAGGAU